rnacentral:rRNA from 1 species
AACUACGUGCCAGCAGCCGCGGUAAUACGUAGGUGGCAAGCGUUAUCCGGAUUUAUUGGGCGUAAAGCGAGCGCAGGCGGUCUUUUAAGUCUAAUGUGAAAGCCUUCGGCUCAACCGAAGAAGUGCAUUGGAAACUGGGAGACUUGAGUGCAGAAGAGGACAGUGGAACUCCAUGUGUAGCGGUGAAAUGCGUAGAUAUAUGGAAGAACACCAGUGGCGAAGGCGGCUGUCUGGUCUGUAACUGACGCUGAGGCUCGAAAGCAUGGGUAGCGAACAGGAUUAGAUACCCUGGUAGUCCAUGCCGUAAACGAUGAUUACUAAGUGUUGGAGGGUUUCCGCCCUUCAGUGCUGCAGCUAACGCAUUAAGUAAUCCGCCUGGGGAGUACGACCGCAAGGUUGAAACUCAAAAGAAUUGACGGGGGCCCGCACAAGCGGUGGAGCAUGUGGUUUAAUUCGAAGCUACGCGAAGAACCUUACCAGGUCUUGACAUCUUCUGCCAACCUAAGAGAUUAGGCGUUCCCUUCGGGGACAGAAUGACAGGUGGUGCAUGGUUGUCGUCAGCUCGUGUCGUGAGAUGUUGGGUUAAGUCCCGCAACGAGCGCAACCCUUAUUACUAGUUGCCAGCAUUCAGUUGGGCACUCUAGUGAGACUGCCGGUGACAAACCGGAGGAAGGUGGGGACGACGUCAAAUCAUCAUGCCCCUUAUGACCUGGGCUACACACGUGCUACAAUGGAUGGUACAACGAGUCGCGAAACCGCGAGGUUUAGCUAAUCUCUUAAAACCAUUCUCAGUUCGGACUGUAGGCUGCAACUCGCCUACACGAAGUCGGAAUCGCUAGUAAUCGCGGAUCAGCAUGCCGCGGUGAAUACGUUCCCGGGCCUUGUACACACCGCCCGUCACACCAUGAGAGUUUGUAACACCCAAAGCCGGUGGGG